UUGCACGCUGGCGGCAGGCCUAACACAUGCAAGUCGAGCGGAUGAAGGGAGCUUGCUCCUGGAUUCAGCGGCGGACGGGUGAGUAAUGCCUAGGAAUCUGCCUGGUAGUGGGGGAUAACGUCCGGAAACGGGCGCUAAUACCGCGUACGUCCUGAGGGAGAAAGUGGGGGAUCUUCGGACCUCACGCUAUCAGAUAAGCCUAGGUCAGAUUAGCUAGUUGGUGGGGUAAAGGCCUACCAAGGCGACGAUCCGUAACUGGUCUGAGAGGAUGAUCAGUCACACUGGAACUGAGACACGGUCCAGACUCCUACGGGAGGCAGCAGUGGGGAAUAUUGGACAAUGGGCGAAAGCCUGAUCCAGCCAUGCCGCGUGUGUGAAGAAGGUCUUCGGAUUGUAAAGCACUUUAAGUUGGGAGGAAGGGCAGUAAGUUAAUACCUUGCUGUUUUGACGUUACCAACAGAAUAAGCACCGGCUAACUUCGUG
rnacentral:rRNA from 1 species